GGAGGGAAUUCAUCGGAUAGGUCAGUAGAGACCCGUGCUUUUAUCAUCGAAUAAAAGAUCAAAAUGUGAGUGUGAUCUCAUAGGCUGAUAAGUUCUUUCAUCGGCUUCAAGAUAUCGAUACAUCGUGUACCUGCUCUGAUCUUUCCUUACUAUAGGAAAAGGAAGAAGUUGAGGAAAGGGGUUCCAAGUCGUAUAGGGAAUACCUUCUUUGAGAUCUUCUACCUAGGGUUUGGUACAUCCCUCAUGUCCUAUAGAAUAGAAAAAUAGUAUUUGAAUUUCUUAGCUCUGGGGAAGCAAGCUAUUCGUUGUCAAGGGAAGUCUAGAGAUUGAAAGUCAACUUUAUCGGCCAGACGCGGGUGCUUUUCUUGAAGAUUCUAUUGAGAAUGAUAUAUCUUUAUAUAUAGAUCAAUCAGGUAUUACGAGUGGGUCUUUAGAUUGCCCCAUUUGCUUCGUACUUGGUAGGAAGGCCUCUUAAGGCUUGUCAGUCUCACCCGAAGAGAUAUACAAGAAAAAAGGGAAGGAAGGGUGCUCCCACCCUAUGGGUGAAUUCUCAGUCUUAAGUGCAUGGGAGGUAUCGGGGAGUUAUCAUUAAGAAAAGGACCCUUUAGCCCUAGAUUCAAGAUUUCCCACCAGACACGAGACGGAAUUAGUAGUUGUCUGACCAUCGAUCCUUUUAGAUAGAGCAGACUGAACAAGGGGUUAGAGUUGGAAGAGAAGACGGCGUCUGGCCUAUAUUAAAUAUCAAAAGAGGGUCCCAAUCCUAUAUUAUUAUCUGAAGUUGCUACCUUUCUUUCGAUAGAUUAAAGGAAUAGCCUAAGCUCCCCGCUCCGUGUGCUUAUCAUAAGAGAAGAAAGAGAGAGGCCGCCCUUAUAAGGCUUCUAACACCUCUAUAAGAGUCGGAAUUGCUAGUUUUAUAAAUAUGCCCUUUCAAGGCACACGCACCCGCCCUCGGACAUAGAAAAAUCAGUUUCCUUUCUGGAGUUGGGGACUUUCUUUCGAUAGAAUCAGAUCGCUUUCCCCUUUUGCUCUUGCUAUAGGACACCCGAACCACUAUUGGACGAGAUAGAUUGAAUGCUUUUAACGUAGCAUCGGGAGUUCAAUUGGCUGGCUAACCUUUCUAUAAUGCCCCUACUAUACCAACCCUGUAUUUUAGAAAUCCAUUUAGGAAUCUUAAUCGGCUUUUGACCUUUGCUUGCUAAUCCCAGAGCCCCCGAUUCCUAUUUUACCUAGGCUGAGGAGAAGGGAGAGCAUGAAAAGGAAAGAGUGAAAUACCUGUAAGGACUAAUAAUGAUUCUGACAGUUAUAGAUUCCAUAAGAAUGGGGUUAGUCUAACUAAUGUAGUUAAAGGAUGCUGUGAAAGCACCUUCAGGCUUUUUCCCUAAGAGAAGUGUAGGCUCCAUAGUGGUGACUCGAUAUACAGCCUUCACUUGGUCAACGGAACCCAGGAUUGGUUGGAUCUGCAGCUUCAACUCGGUCAAAUGCAACUGC
rnacentral:lncRNA from 1 species